rnacentral:lncRNA from 1 species
ACCCAGGUUUGCUGUGCUUCUCAAUUAGGGCUGAAAGAACAGCAAGUGCAGCAGAGUCCCGCAUCCUUGGUUCUGCAGGAGGCGGAGAACGCAGAGCUCCAGUGUAGCUUUUCCAUCUUUACAAACCAGGUGCAGUGGUUUUACCAACGUCCUGGGGGAAGACUCGUCAGCCUGUUGUACAAUCCUUCUGGGACAAAGCAGAGUGGGAGACUGACAUCCACAACAGUCAUUAAAGAACGUCGCAGCUCUUUGCACAUUUCCUCCUCCCAGAUCACAGACUCAGGCACUUAUCUCUGUGCUAUGGAACC